rnacentral:rRNA from 1 species
GUAGGUGGCAAGCGUUGUCCGGAAUUAUUGGGCGUAAAGCGCGCGCAGGCGGUCCUUUAAGUCUGAUGUGAAAGCCCACGGCUCAACCGUGGAGGGUCAUUGGAAACUGGAGAACUUGAGUACAGAAGAGGAAAGCGGAAUUCCACGUGUAGCGGUGAAAUGCGUAGAGAUGUGGAGGAACACCAGUGGCGAAGGCGGCUUUCUGGUCUGUAACUGACGCUGAGGCGCGAAAGCGUGGGGAGCAAACAGGGAUUAGAUACCCUGGUAGUCCACGCCGUAAACGAUGAGUGCUAAGUGUUAGGGGGGUUUUCCGCCCCCUUAGUGCUGCAGCUAACGCAUUAAGCACUCCGCCUGGGGAGUACGGCCGCAAGGCUG